GACGAACGCUGGCGGCGUGCCUAAUACAUGCAAGUAGACCGCAGUUGCGAACGGGUGAGUAACGCGUAUGUGAUCUGCCUUGCACUCGGGGAUAAGCUUGGGAAACUGGGUCUAAUACCGGAUAGUGCAAGAUGAGCUCGCGGCCUAUCAGCUUGUUGGUGGGGUAAUGGCCUACCAAGGCGUCGACGGGUGGCCGGCCUGAGAGGGUGUACGGCCAAAUUGGGACUGAGAUACGGCCCAGACUCCUACGGGAGGCAGCAGUGGGGAAUAUUGCACAAUGGGCGGAAGCCUGAUGCCGCGACGCCGCGUGGGGGAUGACGGCCUUCGGGUUGUAAACGCCUUUCGACAGGGACGCGGUACCUGUAUAAGAAGCACCGGCUAACUACGUGCCAGCAGCCGCGGUAAUUC
rnacentral:rRNA from 1 species